rnacentral:rRNA from 1 species
GAUGAACGCUGGCGGCGUGCCUAAUACAUGCAAGUCGAGCGAAUGGAUUAAGAGCUUGCUCUUAUGAAGUUAGCGGCGGACGGGUGAGUAACACGUGGGUAACCUGCCCAUAAGACUGGGAUAACUCCGGGAAACCGGGGCUAAUACCGGAUAACAUUUCGAACCGCAUGGUUCGAAAUUGAAAGGCGGCUUCGGCUGUCACUUAUGGAUGGACCCGCGUCGCAUUAGCUAGUUGGUGAGGUAACGGCUCACCAAGGCAACGAUGCGUAGCCGACCUGAGAGGGUGAUCGGCCACGCUGGGACUGGAACACGGCCCAGACUCCUACGGGAGGCAGCAGUAGGGAAUCUUCCGCAAUGGACGAAAGUCUGACGGAGCAACGCCGCGUGAGUGAUGAAGGCUUUCGGGUCGUAAAACUCUGUUGUUAGGGAAGAACAAGUGCUAGUUGAAUAAGCUGACACCUUGACGGUACCUAACCAGAAAGCCACGGCUAACUACGUGCCAGCCGCCGCGGUAA